rnacentral:rRNA from 1 species
GUCCGGAAUCAUUGGGCGUAAAGAGUUCGUAGGCGGCAUGUAAAGUCAGGUGUUAAAGGCUGAGGCUCAACCUCAGUAUGGCACUUGAUACUUGCAAGCUAGAAUGCGGUAGAGGUAAAGGGAAUUCCUGGUGUAGCGGUGAAAUGCUUAGAUAUCAGGAGGAACAUCGGUGGCGUAAGCGCUUUACUGGGCCGUAAUUGACGCUGAGGAACGAAAGCCAGGGUAGCAAAUGGGAUUAGAUACCCCAGUAGUCCUGGCCGUAAACGAUGGGUACUAGGUGUUGCGGGUAUCGACCCCUGCAGUGCCGCAGCAAACGCGUUAAGUAUCCCGCCUGGGGAGUACGCACGCAAGUGUGAAACUCAAAGGAAUUGACGGGGACCCGCACAAGCGGUGGAACAUGUGGUUUAAUUCGAAGCAACGCGAAAAACCUUACCAGGGCUUGACAUCUGACGAAUCUGGAUGAAAGUUCGGAGUGCUCUUCGGAGAGCGUCAAGACAGGUGGUGCACGGUUGUCGUCAGCUCGUGUCGUGAGAUGUUGGGUUAAGUCCCGCAACGAGCGCAACCCUCGUCGUUAGUUGGUGUUAUCGGUACACUGAUAAUAACCUCUCUAGCGAGACUGCCGGUGAUAAACCGGAGGAAGGUGAGGACGACGUCAAAUCAUCAUGCCCCUUAUGCUCUGGGCUACACACGUGUUACAAUGGUUAGGACAGCGAGCAGCGAACCUGUGAGGGUAAGCAAAUCUCUAAAACCUAGCCUCAGUUCGGAUUGCAGUCUGCAACUCGAGUGCAUGAAGUCGGAAUCGCUAGUAAACGCAGAUCAGCACGCUGCGUUGAAUACGUUCCCGGGUCUUGUACACACCGCCC